UUGUUUGUGCCUAAUAAAUUCCAACCUGACACGCAUGGAUACUCCCUGCAACUUUUGGAGUCAUUGUACCUUUUAUUAAUUUUUUAAUAGGAAUGGUCAUGGGCUGAAUGAGUUUGAAAAAGUGGGUAAUUUUGAAAUUGAGGUUGAAAAAGUUGGGUACUAUUAUAUAUUCUCACUUUCAAAUAUUAGAACAAACCUAUUUCGCUAAAAACAAAAUUCUUCAAAAACUAUACCAGCAGUUUUUCAUCCUUCUUUGAGUUCUCGCAUGAAUGUGACUAAUCAAAGGUUCUGCCAGUAUACUAUCCUUGAGAUGCCGUGAACCGCCAUCGGUUCUUCCAAAAUCAUCCAUAUGGUAAGACGCUUGCUUUUCUCAUGCUGAUGUGCUCUAUGAAAAUUCUGAUAUUUUCAGUUCAAUUAGUUUUUAAUUACCCAUCUUUUUCUUGUCAGCCAUCAAUUUCGUCGGCGAGGUAGGCCUCUAUUCUUCUUAUUUCUACGAUUUUGAUUGAAAAUCUGAUAUUUUUAAUUCAAUCUGCUAGUUUUUGAAUUUUCCAUAUUCUUUCGUUCAGCCAUCAAUUUGGGCAUAAACUCGAAGGCACCGAUGAGGUGAGGUA
rnacentral:lncRNA from 1 species